rnacentral:rRNA from 1 species
UACGUAGGGUGCGAGCGUUAAUCGGAAUUACUGGGCGUAAAGCGUGCGCAGGCGGUUCGUUAUGUCCGAUGUGAAAGCCCCGAGCUCAACUUGGGAAUGGCAUUGGAAACUGGCGGGCUGGAGUGUGGCAGAGGGGGGUGGAAUUCCACGGUGUAGCAGUGAAAUGCGUAGAGAUGUGGAGGAACACCGAUGGCGAAGGCAGCCCCCUGGGCCAACACUGACGCUCAGGCACGAAAGCGUGGGGAGCAAACAGG